rnacentral:rRNA from 1 species
AGGUUGGCUCAGAAGCAGCCAUCCUUUAAAGAGUGCGUAACAGCUCACUAGUCGAGUGACCCUGCGCCGAAAAUGUACCGGGGCUAAGCCUGAUACCGAAACUGCGGAUUGUAGGAAACUAUAGUGGUAGGGGAGCGUUGUAUACGAGCAGAAGCCGUACCGUGAGGAGCGGUGGAUUGUAUAGAAGUGAGAAUGCCGGUGUGAGUAGCGAGAUGUAGGUGAGAAUCCUACACACCGAAAGCCCAAGGAUUCCAGGGGAAGGUUCGUCCGCCCUGGGUAAGUCGGGACCUAAGGCGAGGCCGAAAGGCGUAGUGGAUGGAAAGCAGGCGAAAGAUUCCUGCACCCGUAUAUGGAGCGAAGGAGUGACGGAGACGGAUAGUGUGACCCUCUUAAUGGAUUGAGGGCGAAGCGAAGCGGCUGGUUACCAGGCAAAUCCGGUAACCGAAAAGGCUAGAGCGUGACAGGUAAGCGAAAUCUUAGGAAAGUAGCGAAGCACAUGAUGACGGCUUCCAGGAAAAGCUUCUGGCAAUGCAUAUGCGGCCCGUACCAAAACCGACACAGGUGGGCAGGGAGAGAAUCCCGAGGUGAGCGAGAGAACUGUUGCCAAGGAACUCGGCAAAAUGACUCCGUAAGUUAGCGAGAAGGAGUGCUUAAGCAAUUAAGCCGCAGUGAAGAGGCCCAAGCGACUGUUUAACUAAAACACAGCUCUCUGCGAAGUCGCAAGACGAAGUAUAGGGGGUGACACCUGCCCGGUGCUGGAAGGUUAAGAGGAUCUGUUAAGAGCGAUCUGAAGCAGUGAUCCGAAGCCCCAGUGAACGGCGGCCGUAACUAUAACGGUCCUAAGGUAGCGAAAUUCCUUGUCAGGUAAGUUCUGACCCGCACGAAAGGUGUAACGAUUUGGGCGCUGUCUCGGCAGCAGACUCGGUGAAAUCUUAGUACCUGUGAAAAUGCAGGUUACCCGCAACUAGACGGAAAGACCCCAUGGAGCUUUACUGCAGCCUGAUAUUGAAUUCUGGUCAUACAUGUACAGGAUAGGUGGGAGACAAAGAGACGUGCACGCCAGUGUACGAGGAGUCGUCGUUGGGAUACCACUCUUGUGUGACCGGGGUUCUAACCUGGUAUCGAGAACAGGUACGGGGAGAGUGUCAGGUGGGCAGUUUGACUGGGGCGGUCGCCUCCCAAAGAGUAACGGAGGCGCCCAAAGGUACGCUCAGAUUGGAUGGAAACCAAUCGUCGAGUGCAAUUGCAGAAGCGUGCUUGACUGUGAGACAAACAAGUCGAACAGGGACGAAAGUCGGGAAUAGUGAUCCGGCGGUGCCGAAUGGAAGGGCCGUCGCUCAACGGAUAAAAGCUACCCUGGGGAUAACAGGCUGAUCUCGCCCAAGAGUUCACAUCGACGGCGAGGUUUGGCACCUCGAUGUCGGCUCAUCGCAUCCUGGAGCUGAAGUCGGUUCCAAGGGUUGGGCUGUUCGCCCAUUAAAGCGGUACGCGAGCUGGGUUCAGAACGUCGUGAGACAGUUCGGUCCUUAUCUAUCGCAGGCGUAAGAUAUUUGAAGAGUGCUGUCCUUAGUACGAGAGGACCAGGAUGGACAUACCAAUGGUGUAUCAGUUGUCUCACCAGAGGCACGGCUGAGUAGCUAAGUAUGGAUUGGAUAAACGCUGAAAGCAUCUAAGUGUGAAGCCAACUCUAAGAUAAGAUAUCUCAUAUCGUAAGGUAGUAAGAUUCCAUAAAGACUAUGUGGUUGAUAGGUUGGAGGUGUAAGUGUAGCGAUACAUUGAGCUGACCAAUACUAAUAAAUCGAGGGCUUAACCAC